AUUUAAAUAGCUUAAAUAAAGCAAAAUCCUGAAGCGAUUGAGAUGAAAUUUCUUUAAAUA
rnacentral:tRNA from 1 species